GAAUGUGGAAGAGCCACGUAGACUCAAGCUGAAAUCAGCUUCUACGAUGCCGCCCCAGAGACCUUUCAGGUGUACUUUCAAUGAUCAUUCUCAAAGUUAAUACCCAAUUAGGAAGAUCGUAUUACAUCUAAAAUGAGGAGACUGAAUCUUUACUCAGCUGAAGUCACUCAGCUGGAGGAAGAAAUAAAAGCACUGGAAGAUCAAGUUUGAAGCUUCUAGAUUCUCAGUUUGGAGCAGGUUAGGACCACCCAGCCAAGUGGAAAGGCGAGGCGCUGUCCGUGGUGCUAGCAUCUGGGCUCGCCCUGGUAACAUUUCUCCUGCGCAAAAUUCUUUUCAGUCACCUUGGUAAAUGAAGUUCACAUAUCUGCCUCUUGGAAAGUGCCCAGUUAUUCUGUUUAUUGCUUUUUUCCCCUGUCUUACUACAUUUCUUCCAUGUCUGCUUCAA